rnacentral:rRNA from 1 species
GAUGAACGCUGGCUACAGGCUUAACACAUGCAAGUCGAGGGGAAACGACGGGGAAGCUUGCUUCCCCGGGCGUCGACCGGCGCACGGGUGAGUAACGCGUAUCCAACCUGCCUCUGACUGAGGGAUAACCCGUCGAAAGUCGGCCUAAUACCUCAUGGUAUCGUCUGCGGGCAUCCAACGACGAUUAAAGCUUUCAUCGGUCAGGGAUGGGGAUGCGUCUGAUUAGCUUGUUGGCGGGGUAACGGCACACCAAGGCUACGAUCAGUAGGGGUUCUGAGAGGAAGGUCCCCGAAAUUGGAACUGAGACACGGUCCAAACUCCUACGGGAGGCAGCAGUGAGGAAUAUUGGUAAAUGGGCGAGAGCCUGAACCAGCCAAGUAGCGUGCAGGAAGACGGACCUAGGGGUUGUAAACUGCUUUUAUGCGGGGAUAAAGUGAGGGACGUGUCCCUCAUUGCAGGUACCGCAUGAAUAAGGACCGGCUAAUUCCGUG